GACCACCUUGCUCUCUACCUGGGGGUCGGACGUUGGCGGGUCUUGGAAGAAGUGUUGCCCCAGGUCUGCCUCAUGCCCCCGGGCGCUCAGGAAGGUGCAGCCCCAGCGCCAGGGUCUGCAUCGGCCAAGACGAGAAGCCCGUUGUCUGCCUGGAUGGCCUGAGUCCCCGGGAGUCACCGAGGAAGGGUGCCUGAGUGGGCACGGAGCCGGGAUCCCCAGGAAGGUGGCGUCAUCAUGAAGGGCCUCUCGUCUGCCUAGAAGGAACCACCUUGCUCUCUACCUGGGGGUCAGACGUGGGCGGGUCCUGGAAGAAGAGUAGCCCCGGGUCUGCCUCAUGCCCCCGGGCGCUCAGGAAGGUGCAGCCCCAGCGCCAAGGUCUGCAUCGGCCACGAUGAGAAGCCCGUUGUCUGCCUGGAUGGCCUGAGUCCCCGGGAGUCCCUGAGG